UACAGAGGGGGCAAGCGUUGUUCGGAAUUACUGGGCGUAAAGGGCGCGUAGGCGGCCUUCUAAGUCGAACGUGAAAUUCCUGGGCUCAACCCAGGAACUGCGUCCGAUACUGGAAGGCUUGAAUCCGGGAGAGGGAUGCGGAAUUCCAGGUGUAGCGGUGAAAUGCGUAGAUAUCUGGAGGAACACCGGUGGCGAAGGCGGCAUCCUGGACCGGUAUUGACGCUGAGGCGCGAAAGCCAGGGGAGCAAACGGG
rnacentral:rRNA from 1 species